rnacentral:rRNA from 1 species
AGCAUACAACAUAGCGUUAAUGCACCACAUCCCAUUAAAACUUCACGGUUAAGCACGCUCGGGUUAGAUUAGUACUGGGAUGGGUGACUGCCCGGGAAGUCCUAGUAUUUUAAGUAA